rnacentral:rRNA from 1 species
UACGUAGGUCCCGAGCGUCGUCCGGAUUUAUUGGGCGUAAAGCGAGCGCAGGUGGUUUAUUAAGUCUGGUGUAAAAGGCAGUGGCUCAACCAUUGUAUGCAUUGGAAACUGGUAGACUUGAGUGCAGGAGAGGGGAGUGGAAUUCCAUGUGUAGCGGUGAAAUGCGUAGAUAUAUGGAGGAACACCGGUGGCGAAAGCGGCUCUCUGGCCUGUAACUGACACUGAGGCUCGAAAGCGUGGGGAGCAAACAGG